rnacentral:rRNA from 1 species
CCUACGGGAGGCAGCAGUGGGGAAUAUUGCACAAUGGGCGCAAGCCUGAUGCAGCAACGCCGCGUGAGCGCAGAAGGUCUUCGGAUCGUAAAGCUCUGUCCUUGAGGAAGAAGGAAGUGACGGUACUCAAGGAGGAAGCCCCGGCUAAAUACGUGCCAGCAGCCGCGGUCAUACGUAGGGGGCAAGCGUUAUCCGGAAUUACUGGGUGUAAAGGGGGCGCAGACGGCGAUGCAAGCCAGGAGUGAAAGCCCGGGGCCCAACCCCGGGACUGCUCUUGGGACGGCGUGGCUGGAGUGCAGGAGGGGCAGGCGGAAUUCCUGGUGUAGCGGUGAAAUGCGUAGAUAUCAGGAGGAACACCGGUGGCGAAGGCGGCCGGCUGGACUGCAACUGACGUUGAGGCCCGAAAGCGUGGGGAGCAAACAGGAUUAGAUACCCUUGUAGUC